GAUGAACGCUGGCGGCGUGCCUAAUACAUGCAAGUCGAGCGAACGGACGAGAAGCUUGCUUCUCUGAUGUUAGCGGCGGACGGGUGAGUAACACGUGGAUAACCUACCUAUAAGACUGGGAUAACUUCGGGAAACCGGAGCUAAUACCGGAUGAUAUUUUGAACCGCAUGGUUCAAAAGUGAAAGACGGUCUUGCUGUCACUUAUAGAUGGAUCCGCGCUGCAUUAGCUAGUUGGUAAGGUAACGGCUUACCAAGGCAACGAUGCAUAGCCGACCUGAGAGGGUGAUCGGCCUCACUGGAACUGAGACACGGUCCAGACUCCUACGGGAGGCAGCAGUAGGGAAUCUUCCGCAAUGGGCGAAAGCCUGACGGAGCAACGCCGCGUGAGUGAUGAAGGUCUUCGGAUCGUAAAACUCUGUUAUUAGGGAAGAACAUAUGUGUAAGUAACUGUGCACAUCUUGACGGUACCUAAUCAGAAAGCCACGGCUAACUACGUG
rnacentral:rRNA from 1 species